rnacentral:rRNA from 1 species
GAUGAACGCUGGCGGCGUGCCUCAAACAUGCAAGUCGAGCGAGGCUAUGAAUUACCGCAAGGUAAGGCAUAGCCUAGCGGCGAACGGGUGAGUAACACGUGGGUAACCUACCUGGAAGACAGGGGUAACGAUUCGAAAGGGUCGCUAAUACCUGAUAAUAUCCAUCUGCCGGAUGGCGGAGGGAAGAAAGGGGAAACCCGCUUUCAGAUGGGCCCGCGUCCCAUCAGCUAGUUGGUAAGGUAAAGGCUUACCAAGGCGACGACGGGUAGCCGGUCUGAGAGGAUGUACGGCCACACUGGGACUGAGAUACGGCCCAGACUCCUACGGGAGGCAGCAGUUGGGAAUCUUAGGCAAUGGACGAAAGUCUGACCUAGCGACGCCGCGUGAGGGAAGAAGGCCUUCGGGUUGUAAACCUCUGUCAUGGGGGAAGAAGGGAAGUGACGGUACCCCAAGAGGAAGCCCCUGCUAACUACGUG